CCUACGGGAGGCAGCAGUGAGGAAUAUUGGUCAAUGGACGAGAGUCUGAACCAGCCAAGUAGCGUGAAGGAUGACUGCCCUAUGGGUUGUAAACUUCUUUUAUAUGGGAAUAAAAUGUUCCACGUGUGGGAUUUUGUAUGUACCAUAUGAAUAAGGAUCGGCUAACUCCGUGCCAGCAGCCGCGGUAAUACGGAGGAUCCGAGCGUUAUCCGGAUUUAUUGGGUUUAAAGGGAGCGUAGGUGGAUUGUUAAGUCAGUUGUGAAAGUUUGCGGCUCAACCGUAAAAUUGCAGUUGAAACUGGCAGUCUUGAGUAGAGUAGAGGUGGGCGGAAGUCGUGGUGUAGCGGUGAAAUGCUUAGAUAUCACGAAGAACUCCGAUUGCGAAGGCAGUUCACUGGACUGCAACUGACACUGAGGCUCGAAAGUGUGGGUAUCAAACAGGAUUAAUACCCUAGUAGUC
rnacentral:rRNA from 1 species